AGAGUUUGAUAAGGAUCAGAAUCAACGCUGGCGGCGUGCCUAACACAUGCAAGUCGAACGAGAAAGUGGAGCAAUCCAUGAGUAAAGUGGCGACCGGGUGAGUAACACGUGACCAAUCUACCCUUGAGUGGGGGAUAACCUCGGGAAACCGGGGCUAAUACCGCAUAACAUCCUUGGAACGGAAGUACUGGGGAUCAAAGGAGCAAUUCGCUUAAGGAGGAGGUCGCGGCUGAUUAGCUGGUUGGCGGGGUAAUGGCCCACCAAGGCAAAGAUCGGUAGCCGGCCUGAGAGGGCGCACGGCCACACUGGAACUCGGUCCAGACUCCUACGGGAGGCAGCAGUGGGGAAUUUUGCGCAAUGGGGGAAACCCUGACGCAGCAACGCCGCGUGGAGGAUGAAGUCCCUUGGGACGUAAACUCCUUUCGACCCGGACGAUAAUGACGGUACGGGUGGAAGAAGCCCCGGCUAACUUCGUGCCAGCAGCCGCGGUAAUACGAGGGGGGCAAGCGUUGUUCGGAAUUAUUGGGCGUAAAGGGCGCGUAGGCGGUGCGGUAAGUCACCUGUGAAACCUCUAGGCUUAACCUAGAGCCUGCAGGCGAAACUGCCGUGCUUGAGGGUGGGAGAGGUGCGUGGAAUUCCCGGUGUAGCGGUAAAAUGCGUAGAUAUCGGGAGGAGCACCCUGUGGCGAAAGCGGCGCACCGGACCACAUCUGACGCUGAGGCGCCGAAAGCUAGGGGAGCAAACAGGAUUAGAUACCCUGGUAGUCCUAGCCCCAAACGAUCAGGACUUGGGGUGCAUCCCGGUUGGGGGGUGCCGUCUUC
rnacentral:rRNA from 1 species